UAUCAUUCCACAUCCAAUUUUAUUUCUAUCCAUUUCUUUUAAAAAACAGUAUUUACAGGACUUCCCUGGAGGUCCAGUGGUUAAGACUCCACACUUCCAAUGCAGGGGGUGUGGGUUCGAUCCCUGGUUGGGGAGCUAAGAUCCCACAUGCCUCGCGGCCAAAAAACCAAAACAUAAAAUAGUAGCAAUAGUGUAACAAAUUCAAUACUUAAAAAAAAAUGGUCCACAUCAAAAAAUAAAUAAAAAUAAUAUUUCUGUGCACUUUUGAUUCUGUUACUAGUAACUAUAAUACCUAAUUGGCUAUAGAUGACCUCAUUAACUGUUCUUUCCAGGUCACUAUGAAAGACAGCGAGAUGCCCAGACAUCUUUGAACUUGAUGUAUACAUGCAUUAAAAACUCUCCAGAGGUUGCCCUGCUUGGCAGUUUGUGCAGCAGCCCUGCUCCUGCCCUCCAGGACUGGCUGGAAAGAGAAAGACAAGACAUCCCAGACUCCAUCUUCUUGGCCAGCAUUUCUAUUGAUGUUAUAUUAGUUUCAGC